AGAGCUCUCAGCUGUCCGGCCACCUCGAAAACCGGCGCCCGAACCCACAUUCCGAUACAGCGUGGCUCCUCUUUCUCUUCACGUGUGUGUUGUAUGUGUUAUGUGUGCGUGUACGUGUGCUUUAGUGUAGAAUUAGUGUAUACGUUGGAUACUUUCUUCUUUUAUCGUCUUCUUCAUCGCGAUUAUUGGUAGUUAGUUUGUGUGUGUAUAUGUGUGAUCCCGUGCCUUGGAUGUCUAGAUCGUGGAGAACACGCAAAACUUUCGUUCCGUUCUACGAGUUUACGUUGAGAGGAUGUAUUACGAUGGGAAAGUGUCUUCGCAUGGUUUAAAACACGAAUAGAAGAGACUAUACUCCAUAUUUGCGCUAUUCUCGUCAGGCGCCGUUCUAAAUGCCAGUAGCUUUAGUAACAGUGUUCUCUUCGGUGGAACAUAAUAGAAGAAUAAAGGUGAAGACAAAUUUUCAUACGACCCGUUUUAUUCCUUUCUUGAAUAAGUAAAAAGAAUAAGGAACAAGAAGAACAGAAAAAGAAAAAUAGACAAAAAAAAAUUACGAAGAAAAAUAAGAAGAAGUGUUUCGAGAAUAAACGUUUCUCUUCUCAUCGACAUAUAUAACACGCAUAAACGUACACAAACAUAUACAUAAAUAUAAAUACGUAUUAUAUACCAGUACGUACUACACGUAUACAACGCACAUACACAAUGUAACCGGUGUAUAUUAUAAGGUGGCACACAUGUGACAAAGGAAGUUAAUUUGAUAUUGAAACCAACUAUGGAGUCUACGCCAAUGAUACGAAAAUAUGCCAGCAGCAGCAGCAGCAGCAGGUCAUUUUCAAAGAGGCCUCCAACCAACCGCAACCGUGUGGCCAAAGGUAAUCCAAACUUUCUUCCUAGGGAGAGAAGAGUUUGCACAGCAGGUUUUCCUGUUUUAAAAGUACCUCUCGAACAUCAAAGCUACUUCCUCUCAUUCUCCAUCUUUACUCCCACCUUUCCCUUUUCCUCGUCCUCCUGCUCCUCCUCCUCCUCAUCUUCUUCUUCUUCUUCUCCUUCUUCUAUCAUCUAAAAGCAAAACUGGAAAAAGAUUCCCUUUUUUUUCUUUUUUUUUUUUUAAACCUAAACCCUCUACCCUCACUAGUGAAAAAAACAUUGGAUUCUUUUUGCAUGAUAUUAGAAUACUUCGUUCGUUCGGUUGUUCGUUCAUUCGUAACGAUUCGAUUCGGAAAUUGUGUAUGAAUUUCGAAUUCUCAAUUUUUUAGAAUCUCGGAAUUUCGAAUUCGAGUGGAUCCGACAUGUUACGUUAUGUGAUUCAUAUGUGUAAAUGUAUGCAUACGUAUUUGUAUGCGUAUGUUUAUGUGUUGUGUAUGUGUGCGUGGGUAGAAGCAUCGUGACGUUGACAGCCGCUCCUCGGGAUGAAAUCACGAGUGAUAUUUACGUUCCUCGAUCUGUUCCUCCCCCACUCUUGGACCAGAAACGUGUUCGCAAAUUUACCUUCCAUCAAGGACGUAAUUUCACGGAGAGGAUAAAAAAAAAAUACCCCUCGGAGAUAACCGUGAACCUAACAAAGUCGAUCUAUUAGUAAGAGAGAGAGAGAGAGAGAGAGAGUGUGGGAUAUGCCGUGAAGAGAAAAUUUUCGAUUAAACUUUUCCGCUACGGGGGUUGGUUUUUCGUUUAAAAAGCACCACCCACUUUCUAUCCACCCACUACUGCUCACUCACUCAUUCACU